rnacentral:rRNA from 1 species
GACGAAUGCUGGCGGUGUGCUUAACACAUGCAAGUCGAACGGUAAGGCCCUUUCGGGGGUACACGAGUGGCGCACGGGUGCGUAAAACGUGAGUAACCUGCCCUCAUCUCUGGGAUAACAGUCGGAAACGGUUGCUAAUACUGGAUAUGAGCUUGCAAGGCAUCUUGUGGGUUGGAAAGAUUUUUUUGGUUGGGGAUGGACUCGCGGCCUAUCAGCUUGUUGGUGAGGUAGUGGCUCACCAAGGCUUCGACGGGUAGCCGGCCUGAGAGGGGGACCGGCCACAUUGGGACUGAGACACGGCCCAGACUCCUACGGGAGGCAGCAGUAGGGAAUCUUCGGCAAUGGACGGAAGUCUGACCGAGCAACGCCGCGUGAGUGAAGAAGGUUUUCGGAUCGUAAAGCUCUGUUGUAAGAGAAGAACGAGUGUGAGAGUGGAAAGUUCACACUGUGACGGUAUCUUACCAGAAAGGGACGGCUAACUACGUG